rnacentral:rRNA from 1 species
GGAAGGUCCCCCACACUGGUACUGAGACACGGACCAGACUCCUACGGGAGGCAGCAGUGAGGAAUAUUGGUCAAUGCCCGGAAGGCUGACCCAGCCAAGCCGCGUGAAGGACGAAGGUGCCAAGCAUUGUAAACUUCUUUUGUCAAGGGACAAAAUCAGGCUCGAGAGCCUGACCGAGGGUACUUGAAGAAAAAGCAUCGGCUAACUCCGUGCCAGCAGCCGCGGUAAUACGGAGGAUGCGAGCGUUAUCCGGAUUUACUGGGUUUAAAGGGUGCGUAGGCGGACUGUUAAGUCAGCGGUAAAAGCCCGGGGCUCAACCCCGGCGAGCCGUUGAAACUGGCUGUCUUGAGAGGUCGAGAGGUAUGCGGAAUGCGCAGUGUAGCGGUGAAAUGCUUAGAUAUUGCGCAGAACUCCGAUUGCGAAGGCAGCAUACCGGCGGCGAUCUGACGCUGAGGCACGAAAGCGUGGGUAUCGAACAGGAUUAGAUACCCUGGUAGUCCACGCAGUAAACGAUGAAUACUGGCUGUGUGGCCCGACAGAG